rnacentral:rRNA from 1 species
GACGAACGCUGGCGGCGUGCUUAACACAUGCAAGUCGAACGGAAAGGCCUCUUUCGGGGGGUACUCGAGUGGCGAACGGGUGAGUAACACGUGAGUAACCUGCCCUUGACUUUGGGAUAACUUCAGGAAACUGGGGCUAAUACCGGAUAGGAGCUCCUGCUGCAUGGUGGGGGUUGGAAAGUUUCGGCGGUUGGGGAUGGACUCGCGGCUUAUCAGCUUGUUGGUGGGGUAGUGGCUUACCAAGGCUUUGACGGGUAGCCGGCCUGAGAGGGUGACCGGCCACAUUGGGACUGAGAUACGGCCCAGGCUCCGACGGGAGGCAGCAGUGGGGAAUAUUGCACAAUGGGUGGAAGCCGGAUGCAGCAACGCCGUGGGCGGGAUGACGGCCUUCGGGUUGUAAACCGCUUUCGCUCAUGACGAAGCUUUGUGUGACGGUAGUGGGUAAAGAAGCACCGGCUAACUACGUG